CCUACUGUCCAUCCACGCGAUUUCAUUCACCACCGCACGAUUUCGUUCCCACCGCAGGAUGCGAAGACUUCGCUCCUCCACGCGCGCAGACUUCGCUCGCUUCUCCUCCUCCUCCCCAUGUGUACUGAAGCCACAUCCUCGCAGGAGCUCUGUCGCCGCUCCGCCGCAUCCUCGCCGGAGACGCCGCCGCCGGAUCCUGCUUCUUCUCCACCGCCGCCGCCGCCACCUCCUCCUUCUUCCCCACCGCCGCGGCCGGCCUCUUCCCCAUCGGCCGCGGCCGGAGCCGACGUCCUCCCCAUCUGCCGCUGCCGCAGUCCCUGUCGCCAUCGUCGACGUUGUCUCCGCUGCCUCGCUCCGCUGCCCAUCUCCUGUCAUGCUGCUGUACUUGACCAAUGUGCCUAUACCCUAGGUGCUGAACAAUAGGAGGGAAUCUCAACAUCGUUGAGACGUACAGCUCACUGCCAUCCUCCUCUCCCUCUGCUGUGUGGUUUGUGUAAAGCAUCACCAUUCUAUACAUCACUGUGUUCAUUAUGAGCUUGGCUAUGCAAUAUAUGGAUUGGCCAUUCAAAUAUCAAUGUUUUUGUUCUUGGAUUUGCAAUGCUUACGAAAUUACUCUCUGAAAUUGUGCUUGCAAUGGGCCUUGUAUUAUUUUCCCCACGAUGUGGGUAGUAUGGAUUUUUUUUUCUGUUUGUCCUCCAUAUAUGUCAGCUCUAAAAAUGGACAGUAUGAACUUAAUUUAGUAGUUCAGGCAAUAGAAUAUGAGAUCUUUUACGGUGUUUGCGAGGUAUUUAGAGGUGGAAUAAUGUGCACCGUUGAUCAAGAGAGGGGCAAGGUACGGAACAAAAUUAUUGUAACAUGAUGGCAUUUGAGUAAUUAACUAGUAAAACAUAGGCAAUACAUUUGAAUUGAAUACCUCCUUCCAUUGGUCGGUGUAUCGUAGUAGCUAUUGGUAUCGUUGUAGAGAAAAAAGUAAAUCAAGGAUACUCCGUUGAUUUAGGGAUUGAUUCGAUUAUAUCAAAAAGUAAAUCGUGUCUCCUUUCUUCUCUCCCUUUGGUUUGUUCGUGCUCUAGGGUUUGAACCAGUUCAUCUCCGACGUUGUGGCCAGCAGCGGAGCCACCUCUGCUGCCACCUAAAGUUCCUCCCAUCACCCACACCGGUGCCGGUGCGGCAGUGCAACCUGCGUCUCUCCCAUCACUAGUGCCAGUGAAGGCCCGUACGUUGCCAUCUUCCUCUUCCCCAGGUUGGACAUGGCGCUAACGACCAGAUUAAUGGCACUCACCGGCUUGCCGCUAGACAUGGACAUGGAGACCAAAUCUGCGAGUGCAAUUCACGCAUGUGCUAUAGAUCUACGGAAAGGUCCUCUCUUUGCAACUCCAUCUGCUUCGUUGGUCUUGCGAGAACUAGUUCAUGAGCAAGCAAAUGACCUAAAUGAUGAUGACAUGGAUACUACUGAAGCUGGGAUUGGUGAUGAAAAUGAGGCUUUCAUAGAUGACAAAAAUGAAAAUUAUAUGGAUUUCGAGUACAUUUGUCACCAAUUGCUAGCCCAAGGCCAAAAACAUGUUAUAAGAACACAAUGUAAAUCUAAAGAAAAUCACGUAAAAGAGAACAUCAAACAAUACAAAGUAAAUCUAGAGAAAAUGAAUUAAGAACCUGUUACGCUAGUGCCGUGUAAAUGACCUAACUCGAACACAGCGUAAAUCUACAGGAAAACCACGCAAAAGUGACACAAAUAAGAACAUGUAACGCUGGUACCAGGUAGAUGUUAACUCGUACAGUCGUACCUACUUAGUACCUAUUAUAAUUUGGGGGAGGGGACAAUUUUACCCUUUUUGCUCUAUUAACAAAAUUAUAUUUUUAUCCUUAGUACCUAAGUAUAUAUACUAAUACUUAAAUACCUUUUACAUAGUAUCUGUGAUUGAGAACUGUUGGAUCUUUACCCUUUUUGGAAUGCAAACACCGUAAAAGUUCUCAUAGAAUAUACUAACAGACUGCCUAUGUUUUGAUUUCCAUUUGUCUUAACGUUUUUAGUUUCAGCAGUGCAAGGUUAUAAUUGCUUCAUGGUUCUCCUCUCUUUGUUUUUAGCAAAAUUAAUAUGAACUGCACAUACAUCACUGUGCUCAUAUUCCAUACAGAUUCAGGCGUGAUGAUAUACUGUUGUGCAGGAAGAAGCUUCACAAUUUCACACAAGGGAUUUAGUUGGUAGCAGCUCACACACUCCCUUUGAGCAAAUAUUGUUUUCAGGUACUUAUCUCAUUUAACUUAAUAAGUUGCUUGAUUAUUGGGACUUGGGAGCAACUCACACACUCCCUUCGAGCAAAUAUUGUUUUCAGGUAUAAUACUAUCGAUGAUUCUUUUAUUCUACAAGAAAUGUGAAUUAUGGACCAUUAUACUACCUUGGUAAAUAUUUUUGUUCCAGUUUGAAGCUGAAAAACUUGUUUCCGGUUGUUCUGAUUAACGUGGUUCAAAUUGAUUCUUAGAAAAUGAAAAGUCUUCAAUAGGUCCUGUUAUUCUGUAACAUGUAGGUUCUAAUUGAUGCUUAGAAAAUGAAAAGUCUUCAAUAGGUCCUGUUAUUCUGUAACAUGUAGGUUCUAAUUGAUGCUUAGAAAAUGUGGAUUUGGGAUUUUGUUAUAGCGAGCGGACUGUCAUCAAUAUUAACGAAAACCUGUUGCAUAUUAAAACUGCUUUUAUAUGCUCAUGGUGUGUUCUUCAAGGUUGUACAUCCUUGCGAUGGACGGCCUUCCUAAACUAACUGCAAAGGAAUUAAAAAGUCAGCGAGCCCGAGAGCGGUACACGGCACUCAGCGUUGAGGAGAAGGCUGCGCUGGUUCAAAGGAACCGUGAAAACAGGGAGAGGAAGAAUUCUGCAUCUACAUCGGGCACAGUUUUGAAUCAGAGUUUGCAUGAAGGAAGCCAAACUGUAAAUUGUCAGCCAUCAUUUCAGCCUGUGCCAUCCUCCACACCUAUGUCUUCCUCCACACCUGGUAAUAUCCCGUGGAAUCAAUUUGUAAUAUCAAAUUACUCUUUGCGUUUUUUGGGGGUUCAAUCUAAUUGUGUAUUUCAAGAAGUGUUCAUCAGUGGAAGGUUUGUUAUCAACACUGUAAAACAGGAAAGCUGUUUACUCCCAAUCCGUCCCCCCUAUUAAGCUAGCCCCAAUCCCACUACUUCAGCACAGUACAUCGCCACUGCAUUUCUUCUCAUCUUUCCUCUUCCAUAGAUCAUUAGUAAGGUCUCUCUUCUGAGAAUCAGCUAUGACUUUUGCUGAAGUUUUCAGUCUGCCUAAUGGCGCAAUUGUUGGUAUGGUAUAUCGAACCACAAGUGUAUUUUGUGUUUGUUCUUUUCUUGCUGAAACUAACUCUGAAACAUGUUUACAUUUGUACAAAUGUUGCUGCCGUUGUGUGUGAUGUCGAUCCUGUAGACCAUUAUGCAAAUUUUCCAAACAGUGUUAGAAAGGUCGCUUUGAUGGAUUCCAAAGGUGAGAAACUCCCUGUUCAAAGAACCAGUCCUGCAUGACGCCAUUAAGAUUGGUGUGAACUUUAGGAACCAAGAGCUACUGCAACCGGCAGAACAAAAUAAUGCUCCAGGAGAACCAGAAGUGGUGAUAGUUGAAGAUGAUGAAGUGGUGAUUGAGCCAUUGCCAAAAAAGAAGCGCACUGGCGACAAGGGAUAAACUAUCCCUCCAGGAGUUGAAGUCAUUGACAUUACCUCUGCACAUUGGCUUAUGCAUACCUCUGCACAUUGGCUGAAGAUCAUAUUUAUUUUUGAGCAAAUUCUUGUAUCUAAUAUGAAAAUCAGAAUGCAUAUAUGCAUGCACUUUAUGAAAAUUGUGCAGUUUGUGCAUAAGUCAGCAGGGAAUAGUUAGAGCUUCAAGUGUGAUUGAAGCAGAUCCUCUUUCUCAUGAUCUAUUUCCUUUUUACCUAUUCUUCUUUCAGAAUAUUGGGUUAUAAUAUAUUGGGUUUAAUUUAUAUAUUGAA